ACGCUCGACACCUACGGGAGCAGCAGUGAGGAAUAUUGGUCAAUGGACGCAAGUCUGAACCAGCCAUGCCGCGUGCAGGAUGACGGCUCUAUGAGUUGUAAACUGCUUUUGUACGAGGGUAAACGCAGAUACGUGUAUCUGUCUGAAAGUAUCGUACGAAUAAGGAUCGGCUAACUCCGUACCAGCAGCCGCGGUAAUCUGAGCGGGCUGGCAAGGC
rnacentral:rRNA from 1 species